rnacentral:rRNA from 1 species
CUGGCGGCGUGCUUAACACAUGCAAGUCGAGCGAUGAAGCUUCUUCGGAAGUGGAUUAGCGGCGGACGGGUGAGUAACACGUGGGUAACCUGCCUCAUAGAGGGGAAUAGCCUUCCGAAAGGAAGAUUAAUACCGCAUAAGAUUGUAAUAUCGCAUGAUAUAGCAAUUAAAGGAGCAAUCCGCUAUGAGAUGGACCCGCGUCGCAUUAGCUAGUUGGUGAGGUAACGGCUCACCAAGGCGACGAUGCGUAGCCGACCUGAGAGGGUGAUCGGCCACAUUGGGACUGAGACACGGCCCAGACUCCUACGGGAGGCAGCAGUGGGGAAUAUUGCACAAUGGGGGAAACCCUGAUGCAGCCAACGCCGCGUGAGUGAUGACGGCCUUCGGGUUGUAAAGCUCUGUCUUCAGGGACGAUAAUGACGGUACCUGAGGAGGAAGCCACGGCUAACUACGUGCCAGCAGCAGC